CAUGAGCCAAUGUGCCUAGUCCAGAACUUCCUGAACACCUGUUUUGUGUUCGAGAACUUUUUCUUAAUCAUUACACUUAAAAAAUUUUAUCAAUAUUUCUCUAAAUAUCAUAAAAUAUCCAGGUAGUGUUUAAUUUUUCCUGUCUCACUUUUUUAAAUGCAGUGGGUUUUGUUCAAACCAGGAUCUAAACAAGGUCUACCCUUGCUUUUGGUUGACAUGUCUCUAAAGGUUUAUUUACAGGUUCUGCUCCUCAAACCUUUUUUUCUCUUGCCAUUUAUUU
rnacentral:lncRNA from 10 species